rnacentral:lncRNA from 1 species
UCUGGUAUGGGUUGAUUGUGUUGACGAUCGCUUCGAUCAGGCAGCGCAGAAGGUUGGCAAAGACGGCUGAACUGAGCGCCAAGGUAUAACCGCUAGCUAAGGCUUCAGCUACUGGCAUGUUCUCAACAAAGCAUUUAUUCGACUUGGUACAACAAAUGAACUUGUUGUACCAGUAAAAUAGGAAGGCUUCGUGCUCUCCCUUCCGCAGGCUCGCUUCCCCUCGACUAGCAAAAUGGAGGAUGAGGGUGUUGUAGUUAAAGAAGUUUUUGUGCAACUUCUGAACUUCUUCUUUUGAAGGCUCUUGACCUUCUUUGCUCAACGAUUCGACGGCCCGUUCGUCAAAUAAUGCCUUGAGGUCAAGGUUGGACGAACACCCAAA